rnacentral:misc_RNA from 1 species
GAAAUGCGAUAAGUAAUGUGAAUUGCAGAAUUCCGUGAAUCAUCGAAUCUUUGAACGCACAUUGCGCCCUCUGGCAUUCCGGGGGGCAUGCCUGUCCGAGCGUCAUUACGCACCCUCAAGCCCGGCUUGUGUGAUGGGCCCCGGCGUCUCGUUCGCGAGACGGGCCCGAAAGGCAGCGGCGGCGUCGACCCGAUUAGCCCGAGCGUAUGGGGACUUCUGUCACACGUUCGCGGUGCGGACCGGCGCCUGCUUGACUUUUCUGAUUAUCCAGGUUGACCUCGGAUCAGGUAGGGAUACCCGCUGAACUUAAGC